rnacentral:tRNA from 1 species
ACCUUCGUAGUGUAAUUGAAAACUUGCUCGACGUGUAUUCGAGAGGUCUAGGGUUCGAGUCCCGGCGAGGGCA